GACGAACCGAGCGAACGUUGUUCGGAAUCACUGGGCUUAAAGGGCGUGUAGGCGGGCUGUCAAGUUUGGGGUGAAAUCCCGCGGCUCAACCGUGGAACUGCCUCAAAUACUGACGGUCUCGAGGGAGGUAGGGGCGAGCGGAACUAAUGGUGGAGCGGUGAAAUGCGUUGAUAUCGGAAGGAACGCCGGUGGCGAAAGCGAUCUGCUGGACCUCCGCUGACGCUGAGGCGCGAAAGCCAGGGGAGCAAACGGG
rnacentral:rRNA from 1 species